AAUAUCAAACUUAUGUUGAUAAAAGAUCAAAACAAGAAAGGAUUAUUUUAUAAAAUACCCCACCAAUAACAACCAAUAGCUAUAUAGGAAAGAAGAAAAGAAAUGAAAUUGAAUAAUGGGAUGCCCUCAACAAACCACAUUCUUCCAAAUCCCAUUCACGAGAACAUAACUUGUGGCUCUUCUUUCUCCUCCUUUCUCUUUCAAUAACUCAUAUAUAAAUACACACACACAUACAUGUAUAUCAAAAUCUCCAACCUCUCAUAUUCACAUACAAACACAAACAAUAACAAACCAAAGUUUUCGAGCUACACUCACACAAUGGAGAUGGCUCAAAAGGUGACGGUGAUGGUGGUGCUGAUACUAGUUGGCUUAGCAGGAAUAUCGAUAGCGAUGGAAGUUUGCGGCGUCGACGAGGAUGGUCUCACAGCAUGCAAGCCGUGGGUAACGAAACCGUGCCCUGCCGAGAUGCCACCGGCCGCUUGUUGCAAUAAACUCUCCAAUGCAGACUUUGAUUGCUUUUGCAAAUAUAAGAACUCAAUGUUGCUAUCCUCAUUUGGGAUUGAUUCUGACCUUGCUCUUGCCUUGCCAGUCAAGUGCAACAUUCCUAACACUCCCACUUGCUCUACUUAAACCUUAAGGAAAAUAAAUAUUUAUGAGUGUGUAGGUGAAAGUACAAUGGUGGAGAAGACCAUAAUGUAUUGGGUCUCACUUAUCUUAAUGUUUAAUUGUAUUUCUUUUUUCUACUUAAAAGGGAAAAAAAAUGUAAUUUUCUAAUUUGAAUUUUAUUUCCAAAUGUAAUAGUAAUCCGUAAUUUAUCCACUUAAUGCUUCACUAUUCUAA